ACAAUGGGGGGUACGAGAAGGCAGCUACACGGCGACGUGAUGCUAAUCCCUAAAGCCUCUCUCAGUUCGGAUUGGAGUCUGCAACCCGACUCCAUGAAGCUGGAUUCGCUAGUAAUCGCGCAUCAGCCACGGCGCGGUGAAUACGUUCCCGGGCCUUGUACACACCGCCCGUCAAACCAUGAGAGUCACCAACACCCGAAGUCCGCUUUGGCGGCCUAAGGGUGGGGGAGAUGAUUGGGGUUAAGUCGUAACAAGGUACC
rnacentral:rRNA from 1 species